UGGGGAAUUUUGGACAAUGGGCGAAAGCCUGAUCCAGCAAUGCCGCGUGUGUGAAGAAGGCCUUCGGGUUGUAAAGCACUUUUGUCCGGAAAGAAAUCCUUGGCUCUAAUACAGUCGGGGGAUGACGGUACCGGAAGAAUAAGCACCGGCUAACUACGUGCCAGCAGCCGCGGUAAUACGUAGGGUGCAAGCGUUAAUCGGAAUUACUGGGCGUAAAGCGUGCGCAGGCGGUUUGCUAAGGCCGAUGUGAAAUCCCCGGGCUCAACCUGGGAACUGCAUUGGUGACUGGCAGGCUAGAGUAUGGCAGAGGGGGGUAGAAUUCCACGUGUAGCAGUGAAAUGCGUAGAGAUGUGGAGGAAUACCGAUGGCGAAGGCAGCCCCCUGGGCCAAUACUGACGCUCAUGCACGAAAGCGUGGGGAGCAAACAGGAUUAGAUACCCUGGUAGUCCACGCCCUAAACGAUGUCAACUAGUUGUUGGGGAUCAUUUCCUUAGUAACGUAGCUAACGCGUGAAGUUGACCGCCUGGGGAGUACGGUCGCAAGAUUAAAACUCAAAGGAAUUGAC
rnacentral:rRNA from 1 species